UGGCUUGAUGAUGACCACCGGUGGCAUUUGAAUCAUACAUGAUGACUAUGUGUCUGAAACACCAAGAUUCAA
ensembl:snoRNA